rnacentral:rRNA from 1 species
CCUACGGGGGGCAGCAGUGGGGAAUCUUGCGCAAUGGGCGAAAGCCUGACGCAGCAACGCCGCGUGAGGGAAGACGGCCUUCGGGUUGUAAACCUCUUUCAGGAGGGACGAAGCUUCCGGGGUUAAUAGCCCACGGGGUGACGGUACCUCCAGAAGAAGCCCCGGCUAACUACGUGCCAGCAGCCGCGGUAAUACGUAGGGGGCAAGCGUUGUCCGGAAUCAUUGGGCGUAAAGCGCGUGUAGGCGGCUUGGUAAGUCUGGUGUGAAAACUUGGGGCUCAACCCCAAGCCUGCACUGGAAACUGCCUCGCUUGAGUCCGGGAGGGGAGAGCGGAAUUCCUAGUGUAGCGGUGAAAUGCGCAGAUAUUAGGAAGAACACCGGUGGCGAAGGCGGCUCUCUGGAACGGUACUGACGCUGAGACGCGAAAGCGUGGGGAGCGA